GUGCCCUAUAAGUCAAUCGUAAGUAUGUUGCGAUGGAACUUUUUUUAAUAAUUUUUCAACUCAUAUAAUGAUAUUUAUUAUUUGAGGUAUUAAUUCAUCAUAUUAGCUGCAUCUUAUUAUGUCUAAGAUUAUGAUGAACCCCAAAGAGUAGGGCAAUGAUUUUAAGAAACAUGAAUGGGUCAUGCUAGUGAGACAAAAAACCCUAAAAUCCUAAUCUUAAAUAUUCCUAGUUGUAGGAGCAUUG
rnacentral:lncRNA from 1 species